GUCUCCACCUUCCCUUUCGAGUUUAUGAGGAUCAAACAGCGUUGCAUUAACCGAGCUUGGUUUACUGGCAUGCAGGCACAAAAUUUUAGACGACACUUUUAUGGGAAAAAUUUUGGCUAUGAAUAUAGUUCAUAGCCGCUUUAUUGAAAAUAUUUAAUGAAAUAACAUAUUCUCUGACAUCAAAAUAAUACUGAAGUCUAGAUUGAUUAUAUAAGUGUUCUAUAGCCAGUAAAGGUGGCAGGAAUAUACGCGUUAAAAAGUUCAUAUAUAUAUAAUUAUAUACAAUCAGAUACAAAAUAAAUGCUUAUGAUAUUGCUGGCAGGCCUGCGGGAGGAGGUGGGUAAAUUCUGAGUUCUUCACUUGACCACUGAUAUUGGAGACUUGCAAAAUAUCUAAGUUAUCUUGGUUUAAUACCAAGAGAUCGACCUUGAUCUUGGCCCAGCUGUUACGUAGUUUCAAGUGCUCUAAAUUUCCUUCCUCUUCAACAGGCGCGCCAGGGAUUAACAUUAAAUAUAAUUAAAUUGUUACUCACUUAUCUAAUUAGUUCAGGUGUGACAUAAAAACCCAUAUUUCGUGGGAAAUAUUUCUAUUUAUGUCUCCACCUUCCCUUUCGAGUUUAUGAGGAUCAAACAGCGUUGCAUUAACCGAGCUUGGUUUACUGGCAUGCAGGCACAAAAUUUUAGACGACACUUUUAUGGGAAAAAUUUUGGCUAUGAAUAUAGUUCAUAGCCGCUUUAUUGAAAAUAUUUAAUGAAAUAACAUAUUCUCUGACAUCAAAAUAAUACUGAAGUCUAGAUUGAUUAUAUAAGUGUUCUAUAGCCAGUAAAGGUGGCAGGAAUAUACGCCAAAGGCUUUGCAAUUCGCCCUAACCAUCUAGGGACGAAUCAAAAGUCUCCCCACCCGAGAGAAUGCAACGCUACAUGGCCUCAACCAUACACGUAUGACUUUACAUAUUAGAAAAUUCUGAAAGAACGUCACGAGAUAUAACCUCAAAAAUUAUGAAAGUUGAAGGCAGUCGCCCUUGCAGACUGCUCCAAAACUAGCAUACUCGAUAUAUGGAAACUGGUAUAAAUGUAUACCUAGCGAAGUCGUUGAUCAGCCGCCCUUGCAAGCUGUCUGAAACAUGUUUUACAACGUGAUAGCAGUAGCCCCUGCCAACUGUCUUGUCAUUAUUAAACUGAGUAUUACGAAAAAAUGGCAGCUGCCCUUGCUAACUGCUGAAACAAGCCUUAAGUAUAUAGCACAAAGCGAGUUGCACAACCAGACAAUAAUUUGGCAAACCUAAGAAAAACGUGGCAGAAAGGUAUUGUCAGCCCCUGUAUGACAACAUCGCCCUGCCACCCUUAAAGCCUCCACCGGACAACACCCCGCAUUGUUGUCCAGGGGAGGGUUAAAUAUCUAUAAUUUAUGACGCUGUAAGGGUUGAAACUCGAAUGUAUUUGUGAAAUGCAUUGGACUUCCAACGACCCAAGACGCGAAUCUGCGCAUCAGACAAGCCCUGCUCAGCUGCGAAUGAUGCUGCGCCAAUUCGGAAACUGUGAGAUUUAUAAACCGUAGGAUUGAGGUUGCAAAAUUUUAAGCAUUGAUUGAGAUAGGAAAUAAACAUGUUUCUCGGCACCGUCGCCCCCACAGGAGUCAUGAAAAUUGGCCCAGGAGAAUUGCCACGGCGGGUCAAAUAAUUGCACAAAAGUUGUACAGGGCAAGGCUUGGGGGUUGGCUGACGAUAAAUGGCCAUGGAAAACGGGCGUUGGUUGUAAUUGUGUUUAUAGUCGGUGAAGGUUAUUUCAAAACCAAUUACUUCACCGUCUCUUAAGAGUUUGGUGAGUUGGUUUAAAUGUAGUGGAAUAGGAGACUGCUUUGAUGUUGAAGUUAGUUCGCCAAUACGUAGAAAGGCGAAGAAUGCCAGAGCACACAUGGCUUUAAAUUGGCAUUGAUCAUAUGUAGUGGUAAUACACUGUGAAGCAGCCAUAAGUAAUCGGGUAAGGAUUGGAAGGGUUAUUGGUAACCGACUAUCCAAGCGAAAGCCCAGUUUUCCAUAGCCCUUUAGCAUUUGCAUAAUGAAAAAGGCUUUUGUUGGGUCAGUCAAAUUGAAAAGUUUAUGUGAAUACCACUGAUAUACACUAAGACUGGAUAGAGCAUCGUAAUAGAAGGCCCAAUCAAAAAUUGAAGCCGGAAGUAAGUCAUGUUUUGAGACCGGGCGCCAUGUUGAAUGGCCCCACUUGAGGAGUGAAAGACUGUAGAUUCUAUUGUAAAACUGACAUUUUUCGGCGUUUUCGCCUUAUACUCGCUAAGUAUGCGAAUAAAUCAAGUCAAAUCUGGGGAUUUCAAGAACAAGCAGAUAUCAUAGAAGUAUGAGGAACAUUUGAAUGUUGAAAGAAACUAAAUCGCAGGUAAAUAAUUUGAUAUUUUC
rnacentral:lncRNA from 1 species